UGUUACAUGAUCUCCCUGGUGGGGUGUCCCAAGCCUGAAGCUCAGAGGCUGGAGCUAUUGCCCCUGGCUGUCUCCUCUGCAGUCACUAAAUUCCAGCUGUUCUGCGUCCCCUUGUCUCCAGCACAUAAGGAUGGGCUGCUCUGAGCAAGCUCAGGCACGUUCACUCUGCCACACUGUGUGUGUGACUCAGACCCCACAGGCUCUUCUGAGAAAACAGCUGUGAUCUGACAGAAACCCUGCAGCUGCACAGGCCUCAGAAUCCCCCAGGCGCUGGUCUGGGCUGUGCCCUGCUCCCUGGUGGGAGCAGAAGUGCCCAUGGCCUCUCCCGCCCUCCCAGCAGGGCCCCUACACAAACUCCCACACCCAGGAAGAAAAAAAGGGGCUGAGUGACGGAGCCAGCCAGAGGGUGAAAGAAGCCGAAGAGACUAGAACGUCGCAGCACGAAACAUGGCCUGGCUGACAUUUUCUGAUCCUGUCCAGGUUCUGUGAAACACUCGCUCUCCGUUUCUCCACCCUGGGCCUGCCUCCUUUGCUCUCUUGUUUCCUUCUUCCUUCCUCUCUUAUCACUGGGAAAAUCUGUACCCGGAGGAGCUGUGUUUUCUAGCAGCUGGCUCUGAACUGAUGCCCAGCUCGGCUGUGACGGAGCCGAUGCCAGCACCGGGCCAAACCCCUCACUGCUCACUUGCCCAUUGAUUUGAGGAGGGCAGGAUUCGAAGGAGACCCCAGUCCCUCACCACCCUCCACUAUCCACGCCCCCCCCCCCCCCCCCCCAUAUACACAAAGAGUUUCUAGAAGUUCCCUGCUGUGGACACAUCGGCCCUACCUGUAAUUGGGAACUGUGCCUGCAGGAUGGCUGCGGUGACAAGCUCCUUCCACUUCAUCUUGUCCUUUCCCUCAGAAAGAGGCUGGGAGGCAGAGGCUGAGGCAGCAGUGGCCGGGAGGAUGAGGAGAAAAGGAGUCUCUGCUGGUUUUAUUCUGCUGCUACCUCCCCAGGAAGUGGAGGACUGUGGGGCCUUUGAGAAGCACCUGCCGACAGGCCAAGAAACUCACACUCCCCCUUUCGGUUCACAGGCAGGAAGCCCCGGAGGUCUGAGGGUUUGGGGUGUGUGUAUGUAUCUGUCUGUCUGAAUUUUGCUUUUUCUCUCA